CCUACGGGUGGCAGCAGUGAGGAAUAUUGGUCACUGGGCGCGAGCCUGAACCAGCCAAGUAGCGUGAAGGAUGACUGCCCUACGGGUUGUAAACUUCUUUUAUAAAGGAAUAAAGUGAGGCACGUGUGCCUUUUUGUAUGUACUUUAUGAAUAAGGAUCGGCUAACUCCGUGCCAGCAGCCGCGGUAAUACGGAGGGUCCGAGCGUUAUCCGGAUUUAUUGGGUUUAAAGGGAGCGUAGAUGGGUUGUUAAGUCAGUUGUGAAAGUUUGCGGCGCAACCGUAAAAUUGCAAUUGAUACUGGAAGUCUUGAGUACAGUUGAGGUAGGCGGAAUUCGUGGUGUAGCGGUGAAAUGCUUAGAUAUCACGAAGAACUCCGAUGGCGAAGGCAGCUUACUAAACUGCCACUGACACUGAGGCUCGAAAGUGUGGGUAUCAAACAGGAUUAGAUACCCCAGUAGUC
rnacentral:rRNA from 1 species